GAUGAACGCUGGCGGCGUGCCUAAUUCAUGCAAGUCGAGCGAACAGACGAGGAGCUUGCUCCUCUUACGUUAGCGGCGGACGGGUGAGUAACACGUGGAUAACCUACCUAUAAGACUGGGAUAACUUCGGGAAACCGGAGCUAAUACCGGAUAAUAUAUUGAACCGCAUUGUUCAAUAGUGAAAGACGGUUUUGCUGUCACUUAUAGAUGGAUCCGCGCCGCAUUAGCUAGUUGGUAAGGUAACAGCUUACCAAGGCGACGAUGCGUAGCCGACCUGAGAGGGUGAUCGGCCACACUGGAACUGAGACACGGUCCAGACUCCUACGGGAGGCAGCAGUAGGGAAUCUUCCGCAAUGGGCGAAAGCCUGACGGAGCAACGCCGCGUGAGUGAUGAAGGUCUUCGGAUCGUAAAACUCUGUUAUUAGGGAAGAACAAAUGUGUAAGUAACUAUGCACGUCUUGACGGUACCUAAUCAGAAAGCCACGGCUAACUACGUG
rnacentral:rRNA from 1 species